AUUCAUGCAGAUACACUUUAUCUCCCAACAUGCCAUUCUUUCUUCUCAAAAACACUUUAGGAGCCAAAAUGAAAAAAGGCAUAAGAACAUUCUGCAACAGUGAUGGAUCAACCUCAACACUGAAUCAACAAAAUAGUACUAUUGGCAAUAUUGGAGGUGACAUCACAAGUAGCAAGGUAAGCUCACCUUUUUUGCAAUGCGAUGAACAUUCAAAUUCAAAUUCGAAGCAGAACACACCGACACUCGAAGAUUUGAUACUACAAUUAGAAAUGGAGGAAGAGUUAGCAAGGAAAGAAAAGCUAAAUGAAUAUAGUGGAAUAAAAGGAAGAAUGUCAUGUGUUAACAACUCUGACAUAUUGAGAUCUGCAAGGAAUGCUUUGAAUCAAUAUCCAAGGUUUUCACUUGAUGGAAGAGAUUCAAUGUAUAGAUCAUCUUUUGGAACUAUAGAAGAAAGAAGAAGAUCGGUUUGUAGUGAGAAAAAUUUAAGAGGAAAGUUAGUAGAAGAGAAUGAUGAUGAUGAUGAUGAUAAGAAGGUUUUGUGCUUUCCACCAAAAGUUGCAGGGGAGAGAGUGGUUUGGUGUAAACCAGGUGUUGUGGCUAAGUUAAUGGGUUUGGAAGCAAUUCCAGUGCCAAUUGGUAGAAAAAGAUGUGAAAAUAGAGACAAGAAAAGUAGUGUUGUUGGUAGGAGGCAAAAUUUAAUGAGAAGGAGAUUUGAGAAGCAUGAUUUGGAGAGAAAAUUUAUAGGUAUGGAUAUGCAGGGUAAUUAUGGUGAUGAGUUUGUUAGAAGAAGAAAUAGGUCUGGUUUUUGCUCUAAAAAUAAUGGAUAUUGUAUUGUGAAACCUGUUUCUCUUGAAGCUAUGGCAGGAGGUCCUGCUAGUUGGCAACCAAAGAGAUAUGUUUAGAUUUUUUGUUGUUAAAUGAGUAUUAU
rnacentral:lncRNA from 1 species